CAACUACUCCCUCUGUCCCAAAUUUCUUGUCUUAGAUUUGUCUAGAUACGGAUGUAUCUAAUACUAAAAUGUGACUUGAUACAUCAGUAUCUAGACCAAUCUAUGACAAGAAUUUUGGGAUGGAGGGAGUAAUUU
rfam:Triticum aestivum genome assembly, contig: Triticum_aestivum_CS42_TGACv1_scaffold_423913_5BS